rnacentral:rRNA from 1 species
UGAGUAACCUGCCCUUAACUCUGGGAUAAGCCUGGGAAACUGGGUCUAAUACCGGAUAUGACUCCUCAUCGCAUGGGUGGGGGGUGGAAAGCUUUAUUGUGGUUUCGGAUGGACUCGCGGCCUAUCAGCUUGUUGGUGAGGUAAUGGCUCACCAAGGCGACGACGGGUAGCCGGCCUGAGAGGGUGACCGGCCACACUGGGACUGAGACACGGCCCAGACCUCCGUACGGGAGGCAG